rnacentral:rRNA from 1 species
UUUCCGGUUGAUCCUGCCGGAGGUUACUGCUAUCGGGGUCCGAUUAAGCCAUGCAAGUUGAGAGGGGUAAUGCCCUCGGCGCAAUGCUCAGUAACACGCGGAUAAUCUACCCUUGGGUUCGGGAUAAUCCCGGGAAACUGGGGCUAAUACCGGAUAGUUCAAGGUUGCUGGAAGUUGCUCUUUGAUUGAAAGCUCCGGCGCCCAAGGAUGAGUCUGCGGCCUAUCAGGUUGUAGUGGGUGUAAGGUACCUACUAGCCGACGACGGGUACGGGUUGUGAGAGCAAGAGCCCGGAGAUGGAUUCUGAGACAUGAAUCCAGGCCCUACGGGGCGCAGCAGGCGCGAAACCUUUACAAUGCGCGAAAGCGCGAUAAGGGAACCCUGAGUGCCAGCACAUAGUGUUGGCUGUCCAGCUGUUCAAAAAACAGUUGAUAGCAAGGGCCGGGCAAGACCGGUGCCAGCCGCCGCGGUAACACCGGCGGCCCGAGUGGUAACCGAUUUUAUUGGGCUUAAAGCGUUCGUAGCCGGCUGGGUAAGUCUCUUAGGAAAUCUAGCAGCUUAACUGUUAGGCGUCUAAGAGAUACUGCCUUGGCUUGGGACCGGGAGAGGUAGGAGGUACUCCAGGGGUAGGGGUGAAAUCUUGUAAUCCUUGGGGGACCAUCGAUGGCGAAGGCAUCCUACUAGAACGGGUUCGACGGUGCGGGACGAAAGCUGGGGGCACAAACCGGAUUAGAUACCCGGGUAGUCCCAGCUGUAAACGAUGCUCGCUAGGUGUCAGAUAUGGUGCGUCCGUAUUUGGUGCCGUAGGGAAACCGUGAAGCGAGCCGCCUGGGAAGUACGGUCGCAAGGCUGAAACUUAAAGGAAUUGGCGGGGGAGCACUACAACGGGUGGAGCCUGCGGUUCAAUUGGAUUCAACGCCGGA